rnacentral:rRNA from 1 species
GACGAACGCUGGCGGCGUGCUUAACACAUGCAAGUCGAACGGAAAGGCCCUGCUUGCGGGGUACUCGAGUGGCGAACGGGUGAGUAACACGUGGGUGAUCUGCCCUGCACUUCGGGAUAAGCCUGGUAAACUGGGUCUAAUACCGGAUAGGAGCCAUUUUUAGUGUGAUGGUUGGAAAGUUUUUUCGGUGUAGGAUGAGCUCGCGGCCUAUCAGCUUGCUGGUGGGGUAAUGGCCUACCAAGGCGGCGACGGGUAGCCGGCCUGAGAGGGUGGACGGCCACAUUGGGACUGAGAUACGGCCCAGACUCCUACGGGAGGCAGCAGUGGGGAAUAUUGCACAAUGGGCGCAAGCCUGAUGCAGCGACGCCGCGUGGGGGAUGACGGCCUUCGGGUUGUAAACUCCUUUCGCUAGGGACGAAGCUUUUUGUGACGGUACCUAGAUAAGAAGCACCGGCUAACUACGUG